UACGGAGGGUGCGAGCGUUAAUCGGAAUUACUGGGCGUAAAGCGUGCGUAGGCGGUUCGUUAAGUCAGAUGUGAAAGCCCUGGGCUCAACCUGGGAACUGCAUUUGAAACUGGCGGACUAGAGUUUAGUAGAGGGGAGUGGAAUUUCAGGUGUAGCGGUGAAAUGCGUAGAUAUCUGAAGGAACACCAGUGGCGAAGGCGACUCCCUGGACUAGAACUGACGCUGAGGUACGAAAGCGUGGGUAGCAAACAG
rnacentral:rRNA from 1 species